AACUUUCAACAACGGAUCUCUUGGUUCUGGCAUCGAUGAAGAACGCAGCGAAAUGCGAUAAGUAAUGUGAAUUGCAGAAUUGAGUGAAUCAUCGAAUCUUUGAACGCACAUUGCGCCCCUUGGUAUUCCGAGGGGCAUGCCUGUUCGAGCGUCGUUUCAACCCUCAAGCACAGCUUGGUCUUGGGCUUCGCCGCUAACCCGGCGGGUCUUAAAAUCAGUGGCGGUGCCGUCGGGCCCUGAGCGUAGUACAUGUCUCGCUAUAGGGUCCCGGUGGAUACUAGCCAGUAACCCCCAAUUUUUUAUGGUUGACCUCGGAUCAGGUAGGGAUACCCGCUGAACUUAAGCAUAUCAAUAAGCGGAGGC
rnacentral:misc_RNA from 1 species